AACAAAUAAAAGGAAGAUAUAAUGUUUGGUAAAAGGAGAAAGAGAAGAAGGGAAUACGUACGCACGAGGGAACAACGAAAGAGGGAAAAUAAAAGAAGGGAACAGUGACGCCGCUGAACCAGAGACCCGACGGAGCUGCCACGCGAGGUGACCGGUGGAUUUUCGAUUUGGGUCGUUGGGGUUUUAGUUUGGGCUUAAAAUCCAAAUGCCAACUACAUCUGUUACUAUCCGAGGUGGUGCUGUGAGGCGUUGUGGGAAGAUGAAGGGCGUGUCUUGGGUCGUAGUUGUAACAGUGGUGGUUGCAGCAUGGGUGCCCCUCUCACACUGUUCCAAGAAACCGGUUGGGGUGGCAAGAAAGGAGGACAUUCCGUACAUAAGGUGUCAGGUAUGUGAGAAGCUCGCUAAGGAAUUGCAUCACCAGGUUCAUAACAAGCAAGCUCAGAUCGCUCCCAAAAAGAUCUCGGAGUACCAGAUCAUUGAGAUAGCGGAGAAUGUUUGUAAUCUGAAAAAGGCAGAAGCGGAUUGGAUAUUGCGCAUAGAUAUUGUGGAGGAAGGAGAUAGGCUGGUGCUUGAGGAACAAGACUCUGAAGGACAAUGCAAUUCUGAAUGCAAGACAAUUGAGCGAGCCUGUCAGGAGGUUAUAGGAUAUUCGGAUACUGAUGUUGCUGAAUAUUUAUAUAGUUCCAAGCCCGAUAUUGAUUCAUUGCGCAAUUAUCUCUGCAAAGACCUUACUAAAGCAUGCAGUACCAAGCCACCCCCAGUCCCUAAGAACAGGGCACCUGGUGAACCAUUUGCUGCAAAGUCUUCCAAGGAAGCUGAAAUGGAAAAACUGCUGAAAUCUAUGGAGGGCAUGCCCGGAGCACCAGGCAUGAAAAUGUACUCAAGGGAUGAUUUGAUGAACAUGAAGAAUUUUGGUGGUGAAGAUGGCGAUGAUGAAGAUGAAGACGAGGAUGAAGAGGCGAACUUCCCAUCAAAAUUGGGAAGAGUUUUGAAAGAAAAAGAAAGUGGAAAAAGAGACUGGAAACAGGUGAUAAAAAGGAGAAUUGAGGAUACAAGCAUGACAUUGAAGAAACAAGCAAACAAAUAUUCUAGUCAUAUACGACAGUGGUGGAGGGGAAAGAAGACAACCAUCUCAAAGAAGGGAGUGAAAACAGAACUUUAGUGCUGAUAUCUAUUCCCUAACCAUUGGAACAAAAUUACAACAUCACCACGUUUGGUACUGAUAUGGCCAUGAAUUUGGAAGGAAAUCAAAUGAGAACUUCACAAUCACCUCUUGGAAUCAUUGGUUGUGCUGUCUGGUGUAUUUUUGGUGAGUCAAUUGUUGUCUAAUGAUGUUGUAUGUGAAGCGUGUAUCUAUGAAUUUUUGCAGGCAUUUAUGUGCAUGACAACUGGUGACUUCAAUGGAGAAUGGUAACGUGGAGAUUUGUGUCUCUCCUGCAUGCUUGUCUUUGUGAUUUAUCGAACAGACCAGAGAAUGUAUAUAGGGGGGAAAUUGAACAUGAAAGUCGUUCAUAAAGUAAAACUUACUACUUUCAUCUUGGAUGUUUCCAUUAUACUUAUGUUAUAUUUUGUACGGCCCAGUUUAACACGGUUUGUUAAAUUAAUGUAUAUCUUAAACAUGCUAAGGCGAAGUAUAAGGAAUAAGAAUGUGGUUAUCCUA